GAGCGGUAACAGGUGUAGCAAUACAUGCUGACGAGCGGCAAACGGGUGAGUAAUGCUUCGGAAUCUGCCCAAUGGUGGGGAAUAACCAGCCGAAAGGUUGGCUAAUACCGCAUGAGCCCUACGGGGGAAAGCAGGGGAUCGCAAGACCUUGCGCCGAUGGAUGAGCCGAAGUCGGAUUAGCUAGUUGGUAGGGUAACGGCCUACCAAGGCGACAAUCCGUAGCUGGUCUGAGAGGACGACCAGCCACACUGGGACUGAGACACGGCCCAGACUCCUACGGGAGGCAGCAGUGGGGAAUAUUGGACAAUGGGGGAAACCCUGAUCCAGCGACGCCGCGUGUGUGAAGAAGGCCUGCGGGUUGUAAAGCACUUUUAGUGGGGAUGAAAAGCUCANGGGCUAACACCUCUGAGUCUUGACCUAACCCACAGAAAAAGCACCGGCUAACUCUGUG
rnacentral:rRNA from 1 species